AAAUUAUUUAAAAAAAAAAAAAAACUCUUGUCUGCUGGAAAAUUCCUCCAGAAGGUUUGUCUGCUUCUGGCAAGUGGUGAAAAAGGGAAGGAAAAAGAAAAUAAAAUGACAAAAUUGAAGAAAAAUUUCUACUUAAUUUAGUAUUAUUGAAAUUUAAUUCCAUCUUGAAACAAUAAUUAAGUAAUUAACUUAUUAAAACAACUGGGUUCAAUCAGAAAAGGUGAUAAGAGUAGAAUUUUCUAAUUUCUUUUCAACUUUUCUCUAGCUUUAGAUUAAUGUUAUAUAAUAAUGAAAA
rnacentral:misc_RNA from 1 species